rnacentral:rRNA from 1 species
AAUACAUGCAAGUCGAGCGGACUUGAUGAGAAGCUUGCUUCUCUGAUGGUUAGCGGCGGACGGGUGAGUAACACGUAGGCAACCUGCCCUCAAGCUUGGGACAACUACCGGAAACGGUAGCUAAUACCGAAUACUUGUUUUCUUCGCCUGAAGGGAACUGGAAAGACGGAGCAAUCUGUCACUUGAGGAUGGGCCUGCGGCGCAUUAGCUAGUUGGUGAGGUAACGGCUCACCAAGGCGACGAUGCGUAGCCGACCUGAGAGGGUGAUCGGCCACACUGGGACUGAGACACGGGCCAGACUCCUACGGGAGGCAGCAGUAGGGAAUCUUCCGCAAUGGGCGAAAGCCUGACGGAGCAAUGCCGCGUGAGUGAUGAAGGUUUUCGGAUCGUAAAGCUCUGUUGCCAGGGAAGAACGCUCAGGAGAGUAACUGCUCCUGAGGUGACGGUACCU